rnacentral:tRNA from 1 species
ACCUGGGUGGCUCAGUCGGUUAAGCAUCUGACUUCGGCUCAGGUCAUGAUCUCCUGGUUUGUGGGUUUGAGCCCCACGUCAGGCU